AUCCACGGGGAUUUUAAUUCUUUGUCGUAUUUUUUCCUAACUAGAGCUUAUCGUUAGUCUCAUUCAUUGUGUAGUGUUCAAGCGCAGCAGCAUCGUUACUUUUAUCUAUGUGGGCUAAAAUAGGAAAGGGUUAUGUGCAAAAAAUUGAAAGCUGUAAGAGAACGUUAGCUUGUAUAUUCAAGACGCAAUGCUCAUUUAUGUAUCCAAAGACGCUGAUAAUUAUGAGGUAAU
rnacentral:misc_RNA from 1 species